UACGUAGGGGGCGAGCGUUGUCCGGAAUUAUUGGGCGUAAAGCGCGCGCAGGCGGUCCCUUAAGUCUGAUGUGAAAGCCCACGGCUCAACCGUGGAGGGUCAUUGGAAACUGGGGGACUUGAGUGCAGAAGAGGAGAGCGGAAUUCCACGUGUAGCGGUGAAAUGCGUAGAGAUGUGGAGGAACACCAGUGGCGAAGGCGGCUCUCUGGUCUGUAACUGACGCUGAGGCGCGAAAGCGUGGGGAGCAAACAGGAUUAGAUACCCUGGUAGUCCACGCCGUAAACGAUGAGUGCUAAGUGUUAGAGGGGUCAAACCCUUUAGUGCUGCAGCUAACGCGUUAAGCACUCCGCCUGGGGAGUACGGCCGCAAGGCUGAA
rnacentral:rRNA from 1 species